rnacentral:rRNA from 1 species
UACGUAGGGGGCAAGCGUUGUCCGGAUUUAUUGGGCGUAAAGAGCUCGUAGGCGGUUUGGUAAGUCUGGUGUGAAAUCUCCACGCUCAACGUGGAGGGGCCACCCGAUACUGCCAUGACUGGAGUCCGGUAGAGGAGUGUGGAAUUCCCGGUGUAGCGGUGAAAUGCGCAGAUAUCAGGAGGAACACCAGGUGGCGAAGGC